CGGCGGACGGGUGAGUAACACGUGGAUAACCUACCUAUAAGACUGGGAUAACUUCGGGAAACCGGAGCUAAUACCGGAUAAUAUUUUGAACCGCAUGGUUCAAAAGUGAAAGACGGUCUUGCUGUCACUUAUAGAUGGAUUCGCGCUGCAUUAGCUAGUUGGUAAGGUAACGGCUUACCAAGGCAACGAUGCAUAGCCGACCUGAGAGGGUGAUCGGCCACACUGGAGCUGGGACACGGUCCAG
rnacentral:rRNA from 1 species